UACGAAGGGGGCUAGCGUUGUUCGGAAUCACUGGGCGUAAAGGGCGCGUAGGCGGCUUGAUAAGUCGGGGGUGAAAGCCUGUGGCUCAACCACAGAAUUGCCUUCGAUACUGUCGAGCUUGAGACCGGAAGAGGUAAGUGGAACUGCGAGUGUAGAGGUGAAAUUCGUAGAUAUUCGCAAGAACACCAGUGGCGAAGGCGGCUCACUGGUCCGGUACUGACGCUGAGGUGCGAAAGCGUGGGGAGCAAACAGG
rnacentral:rRNA from 1 species